rnacentral:snRNA from 1 species
UAUUUACUUGGCAGAGGAAAUGCUAUGUUUUUCCAAAAUUACAAAUCCAUUGCCUCUAGUUCUAUUUAUUUCUAUAAUUUCCCCAAAUGUGGAAAACUUGAGCACAUAAUUUGUGAUACUG